rnacentral:rRNA from 1 species
AGUAGUUGAUACGUGGCACGAGGACGAACGCUGGCGGCGUGCCUAACACAUGCAAGUCGAACGGACUGAUUCCCUUCGGGGAUGAAAGUUAGUGGCGGACGGGUGAGUAACGCGUGAGCAACCUGCCUUUCAGAGGGGAAUAACGUUUGGAAACAGACGCUAAUACCGCAUAACGCAUAGGUGUCGCAUGGCAUUUAUGCCAAAGGAGCAAUCCGCUGAAAGAUGGGCUCGCGUCCGAUUAGAUAGUUGGUGGGGUAACGGCCUACCAAGUCGACGAUCGGUAGCCGGACUGAGAGGUUGAACGGCCACAUUGGGACUGAGACACGGCCCAGACUCCUACGGGAGGCAGCAGUGGGGGAUAUUGCACAAUGGGCGGAAGCCUGAUGCAGCAACGCCGCGUGAGGGAAGACGGUUUUCGGAUUGUAAACCUCUGUCUUUGGUGACGAAGAAAUGACGGUAGCCGAGGAGGAAGCCACGGCUAACUACGUGCCAGCAGCGGC